rnacentral:lncRNA from 1 species
CCAAGCCUGUCAGUCAGAAUUCCAUUGCAUGCCUGUUCUUGAACAACCAUGGUCAAGGAGACAAGAUUCCUGAUGACUGACUCACACUAAUCAAAACUCAGCCACUGGUCCUAGCAAACUUCAUGAGAUGAGAGUGGAGAGUGUCCCAUCUCAUCUUAAGCAUAUGACUGUCCCAUACCCAUACAAAAUCAGGUUCUUUGCACAAAGAACAAUAGAGGUGAAUGACCAAUGAGUAAUCAA